AAGAAGGAAACCAUCACAUUAAACUCAAAACACAAACUCCAGCAAGUCAAAAUACGAAGCGUGCAAGAGACGGUUCUGAUGAAGCACGUGUCUGGUGCUUUUAUCAUCGACUCAAGGAGGACCAGGAGUAAACAUUCAUGAUGGUUCAUAAGACUGGUGAUCAGGGGUCAUAAGUUUCUGUCUGUGCAAAGAAAUGUAUAGUUUCCUCAAGAGUGUCUUAACCCUCAAGCUGCAAAUACGUCUGUGAGCCCCUGUAAAGCAUCUAUGUCAAGUAAACAAGACAAAGCAGCCUUGGGGAGCAGAGGCUGUGAGUCUAGUGAUCUAGUGACACUUCCACAUUAACCCGGUAGCAGCGACGGGCCAAAUUUGUGGCUUCACCGUGUAGCAGUGAUGGGCCAAAUUUGUGCCAUGAUAUUUACCCCCCAAAAUAGAUGAUACAUAAUCUGAUAUAUAUUAUGAAAUGGUUUGUGUGAGGGGUGAUUUUUUCUCAUUUUUCUCGCUUGGAGGGACCAUUAAGAAACAUGAUCCCCGCUGCUACCAGGUUAAGCAUGGAGAGAGAAUGGGAGGUAAAGCAAUGGGACGGUAGAAGGGACCGAGGAAUAUUAUGAGUCUACGUAUAAACCUUAACCACUGCUUUCAAAAUAUAGGAGUCCCAAUAGUCUAGCUUUGGGAGUAUGCAGUGUGGAGACUUGCUGUUUGAGAAAAUUAUAUUUGCUAACAAAGAUUACAUACAUAAACAGAAAAUUAGAACUAAACAAAAUCACGUGAAUGUAGACUAAAGCAGAGUCAUGCUGAGUGUAACAAGUGAGUGAGACCAUCGACCUUCCGUGGGUGGGUAGGUGGCCUGAGGUGGAAGAUAAUGCAGUUGUGUAAGAAGGCAAAACAAUGUAACAUAUAUGGUGAUAAGUGCUCAAGAGACUGGCUUCCCACACACGUCAACCUGAGCCAUGGAGAGAGACAGUGAAGGGAUGUAGAUGAAGAAAGCUUACAAAAUAAAGAAAAAGUGUGUGUGUGUGUGUCAAAAACAUCAUCCACUAACCUGUCUGAUUCUCUGGUUUUCUGGCAAGUCAAUCUUUUUAUCCGUCACAACCUCAAUCAUAAACUUCUCCAGGCCAACUC